rnacentral:rRNA from 1 species
UACAGAGGUGGCAAGCGUUGUUCGGAAUUACUGGGCGUAAAGGGCGCGUAGGCGGCCAUCUAAGUCAGACGUGAAAUCCCCCGGCUCAACCUGGGAACUGCGUCUGAUACUGGAAGGCUAGAGUUUGGGAGAGGGAUGUAGAAUUCCAGGUGUAGCGGUGAAAUGCGUAGAUAUCUGGAGGAACACCGGUGGCGAAGGCGGCAUCCUGGACCAACACUGACGCUGAGGAGCGAAAGCCAGGGGAGCAAACGGG